rnacentral:rRNA from 1 species
AUGAACCAGCUCCCGCCUCCGGCCAGCCGGCUGUGGGAGGCGGGCAUCCGCAAGCUUAACACCACCAUGGCCAUCCGCCGCGGCAGCUCCGUCUUCCCCGCCACCAGCCCCGCCCUCGACGGCGACCCCGCGGUCGCCCUCUCCGUCGCCUCCUCCAACACCAUCUACGGCUACGACGUCGUCGAAAACGACGACGAUGCCACGGGCGGCGGCGACAUCGAGGACAAUGAGGAAGACACCGACGAGGAGGAGGAGGAAGACGACGGCGAGGAGGCGGGCCCGGAGACCCACUCGGAGCAGCUGCUCCCCAGCGGCGACUUCUACCAGGGCAGCGUGCGCGGCGAUCUCCCGGACGGCUCCGGCAAGUUUUUAUGGACGGACGGCAGCAUGUACGAGGGAUCAUGGCGCCAGGGGCGCGCGUCCGGGCGCGGCAAGUUCUCCUGGCCCUCCGGCGCCACCUACGAGGGCGACCUCGCCGGCGGGUACAUGCACGGCCACGGCACCUACAUCGGCGAGUUCGGGGACACGUUCGCGGGCCACUGGGCCAACAACUUCCGGCACGGGCGCGGCACGCAGGCCUACGCCAACGGCGACGUCUACGACGGCCACUGGCGCGACGGGCGGCAGGACGGACACGGCAGGUACAUUUGGCGGUACGGGCACGAGUACAUCGGCACGUGGCGCGCCGGGGAGAUGCACGGGUGCGGCACCGUGAUAUGGGCCGACGGGGACCGGUACGACGGCGCGUGGGAGGACGCCAAGCCCAAGGGGCAGGGCACGUUCCGGUGGGCGGACGGCGGCAUGUACAUCGGCGUGUGGUGCCAGCAGGAGUCCGGCGAGACGAACGCAAUGGGCGGCGUGUUCUACCCGCCGUCCGGCGGGCCGGCCGUGCCGAUGCCGCCGCGGGAGCCGCGGGAGGCGAUCACGAAGCUGCUGGAGGAGCUGGCGGUGACGGAGGGCAAGGCAGCGUCGCUGCUGCCGUCGGAGAAGAUCGUGACGUGGCCCGGGGUGGAGGCGGUGCUGAAGAAGCCGGUGUGGCGGCCGCCGGAGCCGGAGCAAAUCCAAGGGAGGAGGUCCGGCGCGCACAGGGGGAGCAGCGUGUCGUCGAUUGACAUGGACCUCGCCGCCGAGGGGGAGGAGGCCCAUGCGCAGGCGCAGGCCCAGGCCCAGGCACAGGCCCAGACCAGCCUCAGCAGCGAGGAGGCCCAGGCCAGGGCGGCGUCCGUGGAAAGGGCGUGGCUGCGGGCGACGUCGUGCAUGCGCGCGCCGCCCAAGCCGGCCAAGAAGCAGGGGGAGACCAUAUCCAAGGGGCACAAGAACUACGAGCUCAUGCUCAACCUCCAGCUUGGCAUCAGGUGCGCCGCCGCCCUCUCUCUCUCUCUCUCUCUCUCUCUCUCUCUCUCUCUCUCUCUCUCUCUCUCUCUCUCUCUCUCUCUCUCUCUCUCUCGCAUUGAGAGGAAAAGAACUGAAUUUCUUUGGGGUUCGAUCAGGCAUGCCGUGGGGAGGCAUUCGGCGCCCAACUCGCUGGAUCUCAAAUCGUCGGCGUUUGACCCCAAGGAGAAGGUGUGGAGCAGGUUUCCUCCUGAAGGAUCCAAGCACACGCCGCCUCACCAGUCAUGCGAUUUCCGGUGGAAGGACUAUUGCCCACUGGUCUUCAGGACAUUGCGCAAGCUCUUUGACGUCGACCCAGCAGACUACAUGAUCUCCAUUUGCGGUGACGACGCGCUUCGGGAACUAUCGUCACCCGGAAAGAGUGGAAGCUUCUUCUACCUCACCAACGAUGACAAGUACAUGAUCAAGACCAUGAAGAAAUCAGAAGUUAAAGUGCUUCUUAGGAUGCUUCCAGCCUAUUAUAAGCAUGUUCGCAAUUUUGAACAUACCCUAGUGACCAAGUUCUUUGGCCUGCACUGUGUUAAAAUCACUGGAGCUAUUCAGAAAAAGGUUCGGUUUGUCAUAAUGGGGAAUCUCUUCUGCUCUCACUAUGGGAUUCAUCGUCGUUUCGAUUUGAAAGGAUCGUCACAAGGUCGCAUGACUGACAAGCCCCUCGAUCAAAUCGAUGAGCACACCACUUUGAAGGAUCUUGAUCUCAAUUUCAUUUUCCGGUUAGGAGGAUCUUGGUUCCAGGAGUUUUGCAGGCAAGUGGACAAAGAUUGUGAGUUACUAGAGCAGGAGAGGAUCAUGGACUAUAGUCUUUUGGUUGGCAUUCACUUCAAAGAUCGACUUAACGGCAAUGCUGACAACGGUGGUGCUGAAGAUUCUGAGCAAAAUAAGAAAGCGAAACUGGGGAUCGCCAUGCAGUCGAGGGUGGAGAAUGUUGUGCGGAACCCCGAGAGUGAGUCGCCGCUCAUCGGUGAACCCACGGGAGAAUUUCGGGAGGUGGUCCUCUUCUUCGGCAUCAUCGACAUCCUGCAAGACUACGACAUCAGCAAGAAGCUGGAGCACGCCUACAAAUCUCAGCUGUAUGAUCCCAACUCCAUAUCGGCCGUCGACCCCAAGCAGUACUGCAAGAGGUUCAGGGACUUCAUCUACAGGGCCUUCACUGAGGACGUGCAGUGA